UGCUUGCACCUGGUGGCGAGUGGCGAACGGGUGAGUAAUACAUCGGAACGUACCUAUCGUGGGGGAUAACGCAGCGAAAGCUGUGCUAAUACCGCAUACGCCCUGAGGGGGAAAGCGGGGGAUCGAAAGACCUCGCGCGAUUAGAGCGGCCGAUGCCUGAUUAGCUUGUUGGUGGGGUAAAAGCCCACCAAGGCGACGAUCAGUAGCUGGUCUGAGAGGACGAUCAGCCACACUGGGACUGAGACACGGCCCAGACUCCUACGGGAGGCAGCAGUGGGGAAUUUUGGACAAUGGGGGAAACCCUGAUCCAGCAAUGCCGCGUGAGUGAAGAAGGCCUUCGGGUUGUAAAGCUCUUUUGUCAGGGAAGAAACACCGGCUCUAACACAGUCCGGGAAUGACGGUACCUGAAGAAUAAGCACCGGCUACUACGUGCCAGCAGCCGCGGUAAUACGUAGGGUGCGAGCGUUAAUCGGAAUUACUGGGCGUAAAGCGUGCGCAGGCGGUUAUACGAGACAGGCGUGAAAUCCCCGGGCUUAACCUGGGAAUGGCGCCUGUGACUGUAUAGCUAGAGUGUGUCAGAGGGGGGUAGAAUUCCACGUGUAGCAGUGAAAUGCGUAGAUAUGUGGAGGAAUACCAAUGGCGAAGGCAGCCCCCUGGGAUAACACUGACGCUCAUGCACGAAAGCGUGGGGAGCAAACAG
rnacentral:rRNA from 1 species